GCUCCGUUCGUCUAGCGGUUAGGACGCCAGGUUUUCAUCCUGGUAGCAGGGGUUCGAUUCCCCUACGGAGUA
rfam:Bernardetia litoralis DSM 6794 chromosome, complete genome.